rnacentral:rRNA from 1 species
UACGUAGGGUGCAAGCGUUAAUCGGAAUUACUGGGCGUAAAGCGUGCGCAGGCGGUUUUGCAAGACAGAUGUGAAAUCCCCGGGCUCAACCUGGGAACUGCAUUUGUGACUGCAUAGCUAGAGUACGGUAGGGGGGGAUGGAAUUCCGCGUGUAGCAGUGAAAUGCGUAGAUAUGCGGAGGAACACCGAUGGCGAAGGCAAUCCCCUGGACCUGUACUGACGCUCAUGCACGAAAGCGUGGGGAGCAAACAGG